rnacentral:misc_RNA from 1 species
AGCUGAUGGAUCUUCAAUGAAGUUAUCAACAAAGGCCUUCACUAUCCUAACUUCUUGUGUUGUGGCUCUCAAGCUAUACCAAGUUAAGAAUUUUUGUCUGAAGUUCUUCUCUAUGUGUCCUUCGCGUUCUAGCCAUCUAAUCAACUUUACAUAAUACUCAAAAUCCUUAUCAGAAAUACCGUUUGCAGUACAAUCCGCAUCUUGCCUCUCCGCAUUUCUUUUCUUAGACGUGCUGCCAUGUCGGAG